rnacentral:rRNA from 1 species
UACGUAGGGGGCAAGCGUUGUCCGGAUUUAUUGGGCGUAAAGAGCGUGUAGGCGGCCAGACAGGUCUGCUGUGAAAACUCGAGGCUCAACCUCGAGACGCCGGUGGAAACCGUCUGGCUAGAGUCCGGAAGAGGAGAGUGGAAUUCCUGGUGUAGCGGUGAAAUGCGCAGAUAUCAGGAGGAACACCGGUGGCGAAGGCGGCUCACUGGCCCGGUACUGACGCUGAGGUGCGAAAGCGUGGGGAGCAAACAGG